AUUGAACGCUGGCGGCAGGCCUAACACAUGCAAGUCGAACGAGUGGCGGACGGGUGAGUAAUGUCUGGGAAACUGCCUGAUGGAGGGGGAUAACUACUGGAAACGGUAGCUAAUACCGCAUACCAUCGGAUGUGCCCAGAUGGGAUUAGGUAGUUGGUGGGGUAAAGGCUCACCAAGCCGACGAUCCCUAGCUGGUCUGAGAGGAUGACCAGCCACACUGGAACUGAGACACGGCCCAGACUCCUACGGGAGGCAGCAGUGGGGAAUAUUGCGCAAUGGGCGCAAGCCUGACGCAGCCAUGCCGCGUGAAUGAAGAAGGCCUUCGGGUUGUAAAGUUCUUUCAGCGGGGAGGCGUUACCCGCAGAAGAAGCACCGGCUAACUCCGUGCCAGCAGCCGCGGUAAUUC
rnacentral:rRNA from 1 species